CCUACGGGAGGCUGCAGUGGGGAAUAUUGGGCAAUGGAGGAAACUCUGACCCAGCAACGCCGCGUGAAUGAUGAAGGUCUUCGGAGUGUAAAGUUCUUUUCUAAGGGAAGAAAAAAGUGACGGUACCUUAGGAAUAAGCCUCGGCUAACUACGUGCCAGCAGCCGCGGUAAUACGUAGGAGGCGAGCGUUAUCCGGAAUGACUGGGCGUAAAGGGUGCGUAGGUGGUUUGGCAAGUUAGUAGCGUAACUCCAAGGCUCAACCUUGGAACUACUACUAAAACUGUUGGACUUGAGUGCAGGAGGGGCAACCGGAAUUCCUAGUGUAGCGGUGGAAUGCGUAGAUAUUAGGAGGAACACCAGUGGCGAAGGCGGGUUGCUGGACUGUAACUGACACUGAGGCACGAAAGCGUGGGGAGCAAACAGGAUUAGAUACCCGUGUAGUC
rnacentral:rRNA from 1 species